rnacentral:rRNA from 1 species
GAUGAACGCUGGCGGCGUGCCUAAUACAUGCAAGUCGAGCGAACGGACGAGAAGCUUGCUUCUCUGAUGUUAGCGGCGGACGGGUGAGUAACACGUGGAUAACCUACCUAUCAGACUGGGAUAACUUCGGGAAACCGGCGCUAAUACCGGAUAAUCUUUUGCACCGCAUGGUUCAAAAGUGAAAGACGGUCUUUCUGUCACUUAUAGAUGCAUCCGGGCUUCAUUAGCUAGUUGGUAAGGUAACGGCUUACCAAGGCAACGAUGCAUAGCCGACCUGAGAGGGUGGUCGGCCACAUGGGAACGGAGACGGGGUCCAGACGCCUACGGGAGGCAGCAGUAGGGAAUGUUACGCAAUGGGCGAAAGCAUGACGGAGCAACGGCGCGUGAGUGAUGAAGGUCUUCGGAUCGUAAAAAUCUGUUAUUAGGGAAGAACAUAUGUGGAAGUAACUGUGCACAUAGUGACGGUACCUAAUCAGAAAGCCACGGCUAACUACGUG